CCUACGGGUGGCAGCAGUGGGGAAUAUUGGACAAUGGGGGGAACCCUGAUCCAGCCAUGCCGCAUGUGUGAAGAAGGCCCUCGGGUUGUAAAGCACUUUCAGUGAGGAAGAACGCCUGGUGGUUAAUACCCAUCAGGAAAGACAUCACUCACAGAAGAAGCACCGGCUAACUCCGUGCCAGCAGCCGCGGUAAUACGGAGGGUGCGAGCGUUAAUCGGAAUUACUGGGCGUAAAGCGCGCGUAGGUGGCUUGAUAAGCCGGUUGUGAAAGCCCCGGGCUCAACCUGGGAACGGCAUCCGGAACUGUCAAGCUAGAGUGCAGGAGAGGAAGGUAGAAUUCCCGGUGUAGCGGUGAAAUGCGUAGAGAUCGGGAGGAAUACCAGUGGCGAAGGCGGCCUUCGGGACUGACACUGACACUGAGGUGCGAAAGCGUGGGUAGCAAACAGGAUUAGAUACCCGUGUAGUC
rnacentral:rRNA from 1 species